rnacentral:misc_RNA from 1 species
AAGUCGUAACAAGGUUUCCGUAGGUGAACCUGCGGAAGGAUCAUUAACGAGUCUUGAAAGGGUUGUAGCUGGCCUCCCGAGGCACGUGCACGCCCGCUCAUCCACUCUACACCUGUGCACCAUUGUAGGUCGGUCGUGCGGGCGCCCCUCUUCUGGGGCGCUCGAGCGGUCUUCCUAUGUAACACCACACACCAUGCAGUAUCGGAACGACGACGCGAUAAUACGCAUCUUAUACAACUUUCAGCAACGGAUCUCUUGGCUCUC